rnacentral:lncRNA from 1 species
UCGAUUCCCGCUGCCCCGGCCUCGCCCAGCGCCGCCAGGCUGCCAGGGCUGCCCCUGCACCCGGUGUGGGCAGAGCCACCACCGGUGGCCCUGGCGCAUGCACGGCUCCCCAGACCAUUAAUUCUCGACCAGCCUGCAGCGCGGGUGCCUUCUCACGGGACUGCCAAAAGAAGGGAUCUGGUGUCUGGGAGCUCAGCCAUGAGCAUAGGGAAAAUGGAGGAUUAUACCCCACCAGCAGGAAAGGCAAGCCCAAGGAUAAUUUACUUAAGCAGAGAUUUAUGGGUGGAAGACUGGAAAUAAAAUACCUACAACAUAAGAUGCUCGAGAAGAAGAUAUUCUCCCAGUUUUCGUUUGUCAGAUGAAGGCACUGCUAAGGAUAUCCCAGCCACUGUGCAGGUUCAUGGAAAACACGUGUGCGUGUGUAUUGUGUGCACACAUACAUGAUGAAGAGGGUUUGCUGUAGUAUGGUAAGUAUCAGUCUCUUCGAUUUAUUUUAUGUGAAACUGACAAUUUAAAGUAUUUUAAGAGAAGGUACUUGUCUUUCACGUUCAUUGCCUUUUUUUUUUUCCUACACAUAAUAAAUAUUUAGAAAACCGUUCUUGUAUUUCA